UCGAACGAAGGCUUCGGCCUUAGUGGCGCACGGGUGCGUAACGCGUGGGAAUCUGCCCUUGGGUCCGGAAUAACAGUUAGAAAUGACUGCUAAUACCGGAUGAUGUCGUAAGACCAAAGAUUUAUCGCCCAAGGAUGAGCCCGCGUAGGAUUAGCUAGUUGGUGAGGUAAAAGCUCACCAAGGCGACGAUCCUUAGCUGGUCUGAGAGGAUGAUCAGCCACACUGGGACUGAGACACGGCCCAGACUCCUACGGGAGGCAGCAGUGGGGAAUAUUGGACAAUGGGCGAAAGCCUGAUCCAGCAAUGCCGCGUGAGUGAUGGAGGCCUUAGGGUUGUAAAGCUCUUUUACCCGGGAUGAUAAUGACAGUACCGGGAGAAUAAGCUCCGGCUAACUUCGUGCCAGCAGCCGCGGUAAUACGAGGGGAGCUAGCGUUAUUCGGAAUUACUGGGCGUAAAGCGCACGUAGGCGGCUUUGUAAGUUAGAGGUGAAAGCCCGGGGCUCAACUCCGGAAUUGCCUUUAAGACUGCAUCGCUUGAAUCCAGGAGAGGUGAGUGGAAUUCCGAGUGUAGAGGUGAAAUUCGUAGAUAUUCGGAAGAACACCAGUGGCGAAGGCGGCUCACUGGACUGGUAUUGACGCUGAGGUGCGAAAGCGUGGGGAGCAAACAG
rnacentral:rRNA from 1 species